rnacentral:rRNA from 1 species
AAUGAACGCUGGCGGCAGGCCUAACACAUGCAAGUCGAACGAAGUCUUCGGACUCAGUGGCGGACGGGUGAGUAACACGUGGGAACGUGCCUUUAGGUUCGGAAUAACUCAGGGAAACUUGUGCUAAUACCGAAUGUGCCCUUCGGGGGAAAGAUUUAUCGCCUUUAGAGCGGCCCGCGUCUGAUUAGCUAGUUGGUGAGGUAAAGGCUCACCAAGGCGACGAUCAGUAGCUGGUCUGAGAGGAUGAUCAGCCACAUUGGGACUGAGACACGGCCCAAACUCCUACGGGAGGCAGCAGUGGGGAAUCUUGCGCAAUGGGCGAAAGCCUGACGCAGCCAUGUCGCGUGAAUGAUGAAGGUCUUAGGAUUGUAAAAUUCUUUCACCGGGGACGAUAAUGACGGUACCCGGAGAAGAAGCCCCGGCUAACUUCGUGCCAGCCGCCGCGGUAA